ACAAUAUUAUUUUACGUACAUACCAAACACUAAAAAAUAAAUAAAAAACUCACUUACAAAUUAAAGUAGAGGUCUUGCCAAAUCCCCCACACCAAGGGUUAAUGUAGCUUAAGGGGUUGGUUUAAUUAAUUUAAAAAAAAUAAGAAACUCAUUUAUUUCCAAAAAAAAACAUUUUAUAGAAAAAUAUAUUAUGAUGCGUUUCCAAAUUUAAAUGGGAUUAGAACUUCCUUCCUUUUGAAAUUCCAUCUACAAAAAGACUCCUUAAUUUUCCGAGUUGGGAACCGAUUGUGGCUGCUUAUAAACGGAAAAGGGUCAAAAUACCCCUGAACUAUUCGAAAUAGGUCACCUAUACCCUCCGUUAGUUUUUCGUGUCAAAAUGGCCCUCACCGUUACCAAAUGAGGCCACCAAUACCCCUCCGCUUAACGGCUUGCCACUUAAUCUGAUGUGGCAAGCCACAUGUAAAAAAAAUUGCCAUGUGGCAAUGCCACAUCAAUUAAAGGCCCAAUACCCUUCCCUAACCCAACCCAACCCAACCACACCCACCCGACCCAUUCAUUAUUUACCCAUCCAAUAAAUACUCCUAAAGCCCAUUUACCCUAAUUUCUCACUCCCACCACCCAAAUCAGAAUCCUAAUUUGAGAAUAUCCUCUCUUAACCUUUGAUUCUCAAGAAAUGUCGGAAGGCUCCAUCAAUUCCACUAAAAGUCGAAAUGCUAUAAAAUGUCGUUGUGGAGUUAACGCUCUAAAUUUGACCGCUUGGACUGAUGCAAAUGCUGGGAGCUAGAAGGUUCUACAAAUGUCCAAGACCCAAAGUUACUAAUUGUGGAUAUUGAGAAUGGCAAGACAAACAUCAACUCCCACCAAGGGCAGUAACAGUUAUAUUAGAUCUAAAGAGUAAAUUGGAUAAUAUGAAGGCGGAAAGAAACAAAUUGAAAAGGAUAGUCGAUGGAAUGGAUGUCGAUGAAAGGUUUAAUAUGAGGAAUCUAAUUGAUGAUAUGGAGGCUAUUAUUAUUGAAAGGGACAAUCUGAAGAAGAAACUUGAAGAAAAUGAUUUUGUCAAUCUCUAAGAGGCUGCCAAACUUAGUAUUUUAGAGGAGAAAGUUGAAGAAAUGGAGUUUAUAUCAGUUCAAGAGGCCGAAAGAGUUGUGACUUUGGAGAAGAAAAUCAAAAAGUUGAAAACUAUCAUUUUUAUUUCAUGUGCUUUGUUCCUUGUGUUUCUUGUUGGGAUGAUGAAGUGAAUGUAGUUAUGCAGAUUGUUGGGAUGAUGAAGAAAAUGGUGUUGUUGUAACGGCGUUGAUGAAGUUCCUUGCGUUUGUUGUAAUAGUUAUGUAGGUUCCUUGUGUUUAUUGUAAUGAAGGUGAUGUAUGAUGUUGAAGUUGUUGUAUUUUGUUGUGAUGUAAUGAAGUUCAUGUGUGAUGUUUUAGUUGGUG